UCUGCAGAUGAGUCCACACACAGGGGGCUGCUCCCAGAUUUGGGCAUUGCUCAGCCUGGCCGGGAACCAAAGGUUCCCCCUUUGCUGGGGCGGAUGCAGCUGAUCCUUCAGUCGGCUGCCAGGCUGCUUUUGGCAGGGCUGGGGGCAUGGGCUGGGGUGGGUACGAAAUGGGAGUGGGCUCCUGGCCCUGCCAACAGCCCCCAGCACCCACCGUGCCCCGGGCUGGGGCUGGGGCUGGGGCAGCCAGCCCGACACAAACAAACCCCCAUGGUGGGAGCAGAGGUGGGACUCCAGAACCUGUGCAGGGGCUGCUUUGCUUUGCAGGCAAGGAAGGGCUUGGGCUGCUCCACUGCCCUUGUUUGCUUUGGGAUCAGCGUUACUUUGGGGGGCAUUGCAGGGGGGAAGGGAGAAAGCCUGGGCUUCCCUCACCUGUGGGUGGGUUUUUCCCUGGCAUGCAGGGGUUGGGCCUUCCUCAAGCCCCUGACAGAGAGAAGAUUUUUGACCUUUUUUCUUGUUUCCCCUUUUUGUCUGUAAUCUAUUUUCAAUCAUUGUUGUUUCUUUUUCUAGAGGAAGCGUUCUAGGUGGGGUCCAGUCUGGAUGGGGAAGUGCUUGGGAGCAGCUGCGGCGUGGAUGGGCCGUGCCCUUGGAGAAGGCUGAGGACAUCGUUUGGGACCAGCUUUUCUUCCAGCGGUGGAUGGCGUCAGCCGGGCUCUGCAGGUGCUGAGGCUGCUCUGGGCUCUGCCAGGGCUCUGCUGGAGCUCAGCACCGCGCCAGAAUCAGCCAAAGAAGAAAUGGUGUGCCCUGCAGCACAGACUUGCUUGAGCAUUUCAGCAACACAGCUCAAGUUUGCAGAGUGUACACCUCCCAGGGAAAACAUGCCACCACCCAAAAAUUAAACUUGUUCAAUAGCUUCUGAAAUGAAA